rnacentral:misc_RNA from 1 species
AUAAUAAGUUGCAAAAGUCUGAAGGUACUGUUGAUUGUUCUUUUAGUCAUAACUUUUGCAAAUUUUAGCUUUGUUCUUCUCUUUUACUCAACUGAUUCCUUAAUUAUUUUUAGUUAUAUUUACUAUCUACUUAGGUUUUAGUUGUUAGUCAUUUAAAGAAAUGCUUUUCAAUCAUAUUUUGCUAGUGUGAUACCUGGUGCUUUGUUUUUCCUAGAAGGAGUUUAGCUGCGGAGGUGCCUAUGUUCCUGGAAAUACAUAGUCACUUUUUUGACUAGUUGACCAUCUAAAGCAGCAGAGUCUGCAUAUUGUGGACAAUAAUUGGAAGCUUUAGAAAAGCUAUAUCAUUACCCAAUACCCACCCUUAAUUGUCUGAACAUGACUUGUAAAGAACUUAAUAACUUUCUGUCCAGCUUCGGUUAUGGAAAGUUGGGAUAUAAUGAUGAUGAUACAUUAAAAGGGAACAUGGAAUAUUAGGGGAAAGAGCCUGGUUUUAUUUAUCCGGAGUCAGAAUUUUCAAUAUAGUCAUUGAUAUUCUAGUUUUCAUUGGUGAAAUUGGCUGGAAGUAAUUGCUAAUUAGAUUUCAAAUCAUGGCUUGGGCUAUCUUGAGAAAUUUAUGAUGAUUGAAUCUGGUCUCAACUGGGCUAAUGGUGUUUUACUAAUCACAAGUUUAAUAUUGAACGCACUACUCAUACUGGAAAUUAUCAUCAAGAAUUACUUUAUCUCUCGCCAUCUACUUCAAAGAUACCUCCUGAAACAUUUUUCGAAUAUAAAAUGGCAGUAUUGUCAAAGGAAUUAGUAAAGAUUCAUUUGUACAGAAUAACUUCAUAAAUUUCAUUGUGAAUGUAAAAUACUUAUAUUGUAAUUAUACAAAUGAAAAUGCAGGAGUGAGAAAAAAGAUGCAGGUUUGUUUGUCUGACUUUGAGAAUUUCAUCCUUUGAGAAGCAUGGAUGAUUAUUUUCAAACUGUUUAGGUCCUUGAUUGGGGAUAUUGUGCUUCUUGGUUAUUUUGAUAUUAUGUUUUUUAAGCUUUGGAUUUUGGUUCUUUCUAAUAGUAUGAUCUAAAAGGUCUUUGGAUAUCCGUCUUGCAGUAACUGAAAACUUCUCAUGUCCAUUCUGCUUGGUAAAAUGUGCAAGUUAUAAGGUAUGAGCAUUCUUGACUUUUGAUCGAGCACUCGUUCAUUCCCUGUAAAUAAAAUGAAAUCAUAAUUACUGGACUUUUAUUUCGUGAUGCUUUUUCUUCGUUGCUGCUUUUUUUCCCCCUCUGUUUUCUUUGUUUAUCCUUUGGAUGAGUCUGAGCUUUCGCAUUCGAUUCUUACAAGUUUUCUUUUUUUCUUUUCUCCUUAGGGUCUAAGAUAUCAUUUGCCUU